UGGCGGACGGGUGAGUAACGCGUGGGUAACCUGCCUUACACUGGGGGAUAACACUUAGAAAUAGGUGCUAAUACCGCAUAAGCGCACGAAGCCGCAUGGAUCUGUGUGAAAAACUCCGGUGGUGUAAGAUGGACCCGCGUCUGAUUAGCUUGUUGGCGGGGUAACGGCCCACCAAGGCGACGAUCAGUAGCCGGCCUGAGAGGGUGGACGGCCACAUUGGGACUGAGACACGGCCCAAACUCCUACGGAAGGCAGCAG
rnacentral:rRNA from 1 species